rnacentral:misc_RNA from 1 species
AGCUCAAUCCAUCUCAUCCUAAACCAAAUCCACCACCACUGCUGUCAUCCCCUCCUCUUUCGACGCCCACAGCCACCGCCGUAAACCUCACAACGCCACAACCCCUUGUUCUUUUAGAAAUUCCGAAAAUCCCAUUGCGCCACCGCCCCAAAUCCUGCCAGAAACACCGCUGCCCUCUACAGUCACGAGAAAUUUCUAGUAAUAAGGAAAAAAUUUAGCCACAUGUAACUGGUAAACCUAGCUCAAUUCGUUGUCUACCUUUCCUUUUCUGGGUUUUCUCCAGUUGCAUACAUGGCUGCACCAUCCCCAGCCCUAACUAGUAACAGCUCUGACGCCGUUCAUACUGCCGCCACCGCCACCACCACCA